UCUGGGCGGUUUUGUGUGGUGGUUUUAUCAACUGGUGGUUACCUCUUCCUGAUGUUCACAGCGGUUUCAUAUGCACUCUCUCAUAGAAUCCUAUGGAUACCUUAUAUUAAGGACAAUUUUUGCAUUAUCAAAACCACGUACCCACGUAUACAAUCCACAACCACCUCCUGUGAACCCUUAUAUAAACACACAAAUUGUGAAAUUGGAGAAUAUCACAAAGAUCCCCCAUCUUCUCUACUUUCGAAGAUCAAAGGAACUUCAUCGCCGCUAGCUCCUCCACAUGAGGGUUUCUACAAAUGCAUCAGUUUUGUAUCAAUUUAGCCAAGCAGAACAGAGUAAACACUAUGGCAAAUUGCAAUGACAUUGAUGACCAGAUGAUGUUGACAACUAGAAGGAGAUGGAUGUUGAUGUUGAAGGGUAGUUAAUAGGAAAAAGUUGAUGAUGAUGAUGAAAAAUCGUGAAGUUUGUGAACCUUUUGGGGAUGUUGUUGAGGUCAGCUCAUAUGGUAAGGAUGGUGAGACAUAGCGAGACCAAUGAAGGUAAGGGUUUUGCAUUUAUGGCAUUUAGAAGUAAAAAUGUUGCUCAAAAGGCCAUUGAAGAGCUACAUAACAAAGAUUUUAAGGUAUAAAGCUAUAAACUUUUGCUCAUUUGUUAGGCAUUUUUUGGUUCUGGUACUCGGUUUUAUGAUGUUCUUUGCAGGGUACGAGCUUCAGAUAUUCACUUUUUGAAUAUAUAAAUCUGCUGACCAAUUCCUCACCUGACCCAUGGCCAUGUUGACCCGUGACCCGUUUAUGUCUGACCAGUUCAGGUCGGCUCUUUAUGUUAUCUGUAAAUCCGGAUGUUAGCAAGAUAAAGUCCAAUCUCACUCUGAAUUUGAAUCUAUUUCAAUGUUAUCUCGUCGGCUUUCUAUGAUAUGAUUUUAGUCAGUUUCAAUGUUCGUGAAAGAUAAGUUUACUUUCACUCUGUAUUUGAUUUCAAUUUGUUUUGCUUAAGUUUUUGUGUUUCCUUCAUCAUUUAUGGUUAUUUUGUUGCAAUUGAUCUAGGAGCAGUUUCUUUCCAUUUGGCCAAAGCCCAUUACUAGACCCUAAUAAUGAAAAUAGGCCAAAUGCAGAUUCUUGUGUUCAUUUUCUUUCUGUGCUAACUUGAUAUGGUUGUAAAGAGGAUGGUGUAGAUAUUUUGUUUGGGUGAAUGCACAAAGUCAUGUGGUCAUUUGGUCUUUUAUUUGGAUUAAUCAUUAUUGUUUGGAAUCUAGAAAAAAAAAUUAUAAGAGCAAACAUAUCUUUAUUCACUUAAUUAAUGUUGCUUUUUCUGAUCAUUUUAUGUGACAGCAAGUAGUGAACUGCUUGAUCAUUUAUAUGCAAACAACAGAGCAAGUCGGAGUUCCACAAAAUCAAGGCAAUUUCCUAAUUUGUAUUCUUUAUGUGUAACUAAGUUAUGUUGCUUUUUUAUGUAAGAUGAACCAUAUACUGUCGACUAAAAAAGAGGAGAGCCCAUCUAAGAUGAACCAUAUACCAUCGGCUGAAAAAGAGCAGAGCCCAGCCCAUAUAUGGUAAAUUAUUUUGCUUUUUAGUGAUAUGCUUGGUUGAUUAUGUGGGAAAACAUUAUAGUAAAAUGUUUAAUUUCAAGAUCUAAAUUUACUUCUGUCACAUUCCAUAUUAAUCUUUGUUUUCAGUGAUGAUUUAUAUAUACCUUAUUAUCAAAAGGGUCAGGUAUGUUUGGCCCAUACUAUUAUUUCUAUUAUUAUUGCUAUGUUAGAUAUAUCAAGGAGCAUGACAUUAAUCAUUGGAAUUAAAGGUCAAGCAUACCAUUAUACAAUAAGCUGGCCUGAAAUGCUUUUAAUAGAUCACCAUUUGCAACUUUCAAGCUAUCAACUGCCCCUUCUCUUGUAAGCUCAACAACUUGUAUGUCCACCUGAUCUCUUAUAUGACGGAGAAGCAAAAAAUGGCAUUAUGCUUGCUUGAUUACGUGGGAAAACAUUACACUCAAAACAUGUUCGAUAAGUUGGGUCCAUACUAAAUGAGUAAAUGGGUCCAACGGGUCAGAUGGGUAGCUUUACUAAAUUGGUAGAACGAUUAGUUUCUUCCAAACGGGUCAUUACAGUAAAAAAGGGUCAGGUAGGUUGGGUCCAUACUAAAUGGGUCCAACUGGUCCACUUUAUAGAAUGGGUCAGGCCAAUCAGCUUUAUAAAUUUGGCAGAACAAUCAUUUUCUUUCAAACGGGUUGAAUGGGUUUGUUCUCGUAAGGGUCAAACGAGAAAGAUUUUACUUGGGUAAUGGGUCAAACUGAGUUUUUUUUUUAUUUUUUUUAAUUAUGGGUCAAAGAAUGUCAAGUAAGUUGGUCAAAACGGGCCAGGUAGGUCGGGUUCAUAACAAAUGGGUCGAGUAGUUUAGCAUUAAAACCGAUUUGGCUACAUAAAGUUAAAAAAUUAGGGUGAGCUGUAGUUUUAAGGCCUCUGUUAUGCAUACUAUGUAGACAUUGUAAACACAUAUGUUAUUUUUAAAACACAAAAAUCUAGAUUAAUAUAAUGACUUGACAAAAGCAAAAUCAAUAAAUAUUUUUUACUAUGCGGAAGCAAUAAAUAUAUGAUUGUUUGACAAAUUCUGAUUGGGCGGCUCGAAAGGCAGCUGUUGAGGCAUUAGUUGCCUUAGCAUGGCAUUCAGCCACAACUUGAUCAUAGAUCCCAGUAACCGCCCUUGAGGAUUUCCGCUUUGAUAAGGUUAGUUUUGAAAUGUUACCCUCGAGAACCCAAAAAAAAAAGUCUACUCAAACAUAACAAAACAAAACAAGAAUUAAAGUUUUUUUGGUUGAAAUUCUAUCUGAAAAAGAGAGUAUAAUAAAGGCUUUGCAACUAUAGCAACAUCUUGCAGGAGUUUAUGAAGAUCAAAAAGCAGCAGGUCAUGGUGAGCACUAAAAAUAUUGUAAAACAAAAACAAAGUUUACUAAAAUGGUAGGACCAAUAGUAUUAAGUUAAUCGACCAUAUCUUUUUUUACACCAAGAAUGUUUUGGUUUAGAAUAAAAAGUAAAAUAUUUAUGUCACUAUGGCGUUCCGGACAGGUAUUAAACUAGAUGCACAUGGUAAUUAUUCAUAAACAUGUGAUUAUUUGUGUCAAAAUCUUCCUGUAACAUAACAGUAGUCUAGAACUCUUGCUUGCAGGGACAAAUGGACUUCUUUUAGACACCAUGUUUCAUAUAUGGCACUCAGGAGGAAUCGUGUGAGAACCAGACAACUGCAUGACGAUGAAUCAAGCCAUGCAUGAGCUUAUCUUCCACUCCAAGCGUUUUACCUAAUAGUCAACCAAUAAACUUGUCCAUAUGCCAAGAAGGGUUUUCCGAUCCACAGGCACUAUAGUGUACUUGAUGAAAUUAACCAUUUUACCCUCACCAUAAGAAGCUUAAAAGCUAGAGAGAAACUUGGGUUCAGUCCGUUAUCUCCCAAAAUUUGUUUUAUCAAAAAAGGUUAUUAUUCACGCUAAGGUUGGCCUAAUGUAUUUUCUUGUAAAAAGUUGUGUAUUGAGAUAUAUCAAGCCAUAUGUGUAUGUUUGUUGAACUUA